rnacentral:lncRNA from 1 species
ACGGGGAAAAAUAAUAACGAGACAAUCUUUUGACUUCCUUAGUGAAGCAAGACGGCCUUCGCUGCUUCAAUGAGUAACUUCUCUGUUCCUCAAAAUCCCGCAAGCAUACGGGUUUGUUGUACAAGUAAUAAUUGUGAUGGAAGAGUUAUCGUCUCAUAGGGAAUAAGGUCUAAUUUUAGUGUAUUUGAUAUAAUUAAAUUCGUGUUAGUAACUAAAAGUUGAUUUUUGUUUGAAUAACUAAUUAAGUUUUAUAACUAAAAACUAUAGAAUUAAAAAGAAUUUGUUUUAAAAUUCAAAUGAGUAAACGUAUUGAAUUUUCGACGUCACUGAUCAACUCUUAGUUCUAAUUCUCAACCUAUGACAUUUAUCUCAACUCAGGUAAUUGUGACGAUCGAUAAUUUCACUUUAAUUUAUUAUUCUUUUCUAAGAUAUAAUAAAUCUAUGAUUACCACGAGACGAUCCUAUUCCUAGUCCGAAUUCAUAUGGACAACACGUAUUGAUGUGUAAGAUUAUCACACGUGAUCGCACACGCCACAAAUAUUAUUCUUAACAUUUAUUGUCCAUGUGUUUCAAUGACAGUGUUUUACCUAUCGUGAGUUUUCCAACACUACGAAUAACGACUCAUUGUUGUAAAUGGUGCACAAACAUUAAAACAAUAUAGAUAUGCAUAUUAAAGGAAUCACAACACAAGAAUUAAUAUAAAAAUAUAAGGUCUUGAAUUAAAAACUAAGAAUCAACCAGUUUUGUCAUCCAUCCAAUACACAAAAUAUUUAGCCUAGCAUAUUAACAUAAGAAAUACAUAAAAAAUAAAAAUAAAAAUCAUCACCUGAAUCAUUAAAGUAUGAAAAGAAUCUGGAAUCUUUCAAUUUAUGCUUUCAAAUCCCGAUCCAAGUGAUGAAAUCUUCGUUCUUGAAUAUAAUUCUCUCCAUUUCUCCUCUCUGUCGGCUUGCAAGAUGUUAGAAAUUAGGUCCCCACCCCUUUAUUGCCGACUCUUGGUAUAAAUAUGGUGCCAAAAAUUACAAACCAAGAGUUUCCAAAACAAAAUAAGGAAACAAAAUUUUUUUGUCGGAUAUGUACGCAUAGUACACUCAAAUGAGCCUCAGAAGUGAAAAUUUCCAACCUUGUGUAUGCAAGGCCUACAGGCCCAUGUGUAAGCAUGGUUUAAUUUUUUUAGGGGCCAAUUUAGAAUUUGGUCACUGAACUUUCUAAAGUGUGCGUUUUGAUCCUUUUUCAAAAUUUCCUGUUCCAUUAUCUUCUCUUCAAUUCCAAUUGACUCUUGGUGUUCCUAACUUAUUGUUCUGCAGUCCAACUCAACUUUUGAAUUAUUGCAUUCUAGUCCUCGAAAUUUGCCCUUGAUGCAAUUGAGUCAUUUUUCCUGCUUAUUUUCUUUAUUCUCGUAUCUUC